UUCCUAGCGCAGUUGGUAGAGCAUGAGCCUCUGAAUCUCAGGGUUGUGGGUUCGAGUCCCACAUUGGGCAAAA